CCGCGUGGGGGAUGAAUGGCUUCGGCCCGUAAACCCCUGUCAUCUGGGAACAAUGCUCAUCCGAUAACACCGGAUGAGUUGAUAGUACUGGAAGAGGAAGGGACGGCUAACUCUGUGCCAGCAGCCGCGGUAAUACAGAGGUCCCAAGCGUUGUUCGGAUUCACUGGGCGUAAAGGGUGCGUAGGUGGUGAGGUAAGUCGGAUGUGAAAUCUCCGAGCUCAACUCGGAAAUGGCAUUGGAAACUACCUUGCUCGAGGAUUGGAGGGGAGACUGGAAUGCUUGGUGUAGCAGUGAAAUGCGUAGAUAUCAAGCGGAACACCAGUGGCGAAGGCGAGUCUCUGGACAAUUCCUGACACUGAGGCACGAAAGCCAGGGGAGCAAACGGGAUUAGAUACCCCGGUAGUCCUGGCCGUAAACGGUGCACGUUUGCUGUAAAAGGAAUCGACCCCUUUUGUGGCGUAGCCAACGCGAUAAACGUGCCGCCUGGGAAGUACGGUCGCAAGAUUA
rnacentral:rRNA from 1 species